GAUGCGAGACGCUCAUGAGAGCCCAUGAAAGGUGUUGGUUGCUAUAGACAGCAGGACGGUGGCCAUGGAAGUCGGAAUCCGCUAAGGAGUGUGUAACAACUCACCUGCCGAAGCAACUAGCCCUGAAAAUGGAUGGCGCUGCAGCGUCGAGCCCAUACCCGGCCGCCGCGGCAGAGUGUAAUCUCGAAGGGACACGGGAUGCUUACGCCGCGGUGAGUAGGAGGGUCGCAGCGGCGAGCGUUGAAGGUGCCGGGCGCGAGCCCGCCUGGAGCCGCCGCUGGUGCAGAUCUUGGUGGUAGUAGCAAAUACUCAAGUGAGAACCUUGAGGACUGAGGUGGAGAAGGGUUCCAUGUGAACAGCAGUUGAACAUGGGUCAGUCGGUCCUAAGGGAUAGGAGAAAUCCGUUCCGAAGCGGGUGUUUUUUGACGUUGUGCCCGCCGGUCGACCGAAAGGGAAUCGGGUUAAUAUUCCCGAACCCGGACGCGGAGAUCGGCCUCUCGGGGCCAAGUGCGGCGACGCAACCGAACUCGGAGAUGUCGACGGGAGUCCCGGGAAGAGUUGUCUUUUCUUUGUAAGGGCUCGGCUCCCUGGAAUCGGCUCGUCCGGAGAUAGGGAUGCUGUU
rnacentral:rRNA from 1 species